rnacentral:lncRNA from 1 species
CAGCUCUGCUGGCCCAUUGGGCGAGUUCCAGGGGAGAGCGGGGUCCCAAGCAAGGCUGGCUGCCCUAUCCUAGUCCUGCAAGUCAGCUGGAGAUGCUGAUUUGGAAGCUUUUGGGGCUCUGCUCGAUUUCCUGUCUGCAGAGCGACAGCUGGGAUGGGAGGAAUUGUUUCUCACCCUCAUGGGUGUCUCGGAGAAGUACUGCCUCCUGAAGGUGCCACCUCCCUGCUGGGGAAGGCUUCCAUCUGACCCAACUGUCCCGCUUCCUUUCCCUAGUGAUGGCCCAAGAGGCUGUGCAGGAGGUGGCGUUUCCAGAAGAACACAGCAACUCCCUGCCAGUCCCGGGUGGAGCGACAGAGGCCAUGCCAGGGACACCUCUGCAGCUUCAGAGGUCGGGAUGGAAGCCGGCAGUCACCCCCAGCACCCAGAAAAACCGUCCAGCCGCCCUGACACCCCAGGAACCCCAACCCAACACUAGGAGCUGCCUCUCCAGCAUGCGUCACCGGCACGGCCACCCUCCCCGGAGCCCUCUUGCCCUGACAGCCCAAAAUCCCCAACUAGUGCUGAGGGUCUUCCAGUGUUCCUGCAGGGACCGUUCUCACCAGGGCCUCUACACCCAACAGCUCCGGCUGCGGAGAUUGACUCAGGGAGCUCCUCUGGGAUCCCCCACACCUUGCAGGGUAGGAGACCAGACCCUUGCCCGCAGCGCCAUGCCUUUGGCUCUGGCCGCCACCCCAAGGUCAGCCCGCGGCUCCCUAGGGGUCACUGCUUCUCCCGCUGGUCACUGCUCCCCAGGUGGGCUCAGCUCUGGGAGAGGCUGGCCAGGGUGGCCGGGCUCCAGCAGUCCGUUGCCCAUGCAGUGGCUGGUGCCCCCGCUCCUGGAGGGCUGCCUCACCAUUGCUCACCACUGUCUGCCCAGAGACAGGGACGCCGUGCUCAGGUCCUGAUCCUGUCUCACAAGGUUGUCACUCGGUCUGUGCCGUGUGGCCAUGGCCACUCCACUUGGUAGGAGCCACGCUUCCUCCUGCUCCUACUAAGUGAGAAACAUGACACUAAAACAUGUGAGAAAACAGGAUGUCUCAAAUCUUGAUUGCUGCAAGAUAUCUACCACCUGUCUACAUGAUAGAACAUCAAAGGAGGGACAUCCUUGGAUCUCAAAGACGCUAUAGCUUGUUUGCACCAAGAAACUCCUCUGCAGCUCAUCUGCCGUGUAGGCCCCAGCACUGCCCAGGGGCAGAGGCAAGGGGGGCUCACACAGCAACCAUGUGGGACAAUAAUUGGACAACCAUAGGUCACUGUCAUGUUGAUUGGUGAAACCAUGAGUUGAAAGUGACAAUAAAUUACUGAUGCCCCUCGCUGCA